CCCAACGUCGGGGCGGGAGCUGCGGUAAUGUGUAGGGUGCGGUCGUUGUCCGUAAGUAUGUGUCGGAAAGGGGUCGUAGGCGGUUUGUCACGUCGGGAGUGAAAACUCGGGGCUCAACCCCGAGCCUGCGUCCGAUACGGGCAGACUAGAGGUAUGAAGGGGAGAACGGAAUUCCUGGUGUAGCGGUGAAAUGCGCAGAUAUCAGGAGGAACACCGGUGGCGAAGGCGGUUCUCUGGGCAUUACCUGACGCUGAGGAGCGAAAGUGUGGGGAGCGAACAGGAUUAGAUACCCGAGUAGUC
rnacentral:rRNA from 1 species